GUAAAAGCCCAACUCAUCUCAAGGCACACGAGAUUGUGCAGGACCCCAUCCUGUCCCCUCCUUGCCCUUGCCCUCUCCCAUUCUGCCCCUCACUCACUCUGCUCCAGCUACAGGGGCCUCCUCCCUGCUCCUCCAACAUGCCAGGCAGGGUACUACCCCAGGACCUUUGCACCUGCUGUUCCAUCUGUCCAAACUGCUCUUCCCCCUGAUAUGCCCACACCUCACUCCUUUACCUCCUUCGGGUCUUUAUUUUUAUUUUCGAUCCCCUGCCACUUGAAAAGGCCACCCCCAAACAGGGACGUCUGUGAGCUUCAUCCCCUGCUGGAGUCCCAGUUCCAAAUGGCGCAGGUGCACAGUCGGUGUUCCCUUAAUAUUCCCUAAAGGUUGAGUAAGUGUUAGACAUUAUUGCUGUUAUUAUCAGCCUAUUAUUUGUCCCUCAGUCCCCUGUGGUCUCUCUGGGGGCCAGGGCUUUCUCCUUCUGUCAACAAACGUUUCUUGAGGACCUACUAGGUGCCUAGCAGCAAAGGAAUAGACAAAAAUCCCCACACUCCCCAAAUCUGCUUUCAAAUGCAGGCUCCAAGUGUGUGAACCAAGAAACGAUUUCAGACAACAGCAAGAAAGUACGGACAAUAGAGAAAAUAAAACGGGAGGUUUGCAGAGCGGCGGGGGUGAGGCCGAGUCCCCCCCCCCCCCCCAAGCAGGUGCUGCUACAGCAGAGGAUUAAGGAGAAGGAGCCAGCUGCAGGCAGGUGGGGCGGGUGCUUCAAGUUCAGCUCACACUGAAGCUCUCACCCUGCGGCCGUAAGAAUAAAUGAAGGAAAACACAGACGCAGGCACACGUGACCGGAUGACCCAGCCCCCCCCCCACCUGGACCCGGGAUUGCGUGACCCCUGAGUCCACGAGGGCAUGGGAAGAGAGGCCCCCGUGGCCGAGACACCCUGCCCUUCCUCCGGGGUUCCCAGACGCCCUGACACAGGCUCCCCCGGAGGAAGAGGAAGAGCUUCAGCCGGGGGCAGCCUUGUGGGCCAGCUGCUGGGGUGGGGGGACUUCUUCCCCGCCCUCUUCCUUCCAGGUAACCCGAGAGGCCGCUGGAAAAUUCCGGGCACAGGAAAUGCAAAUGGGCACAUGGCGGGAAGCAGGCAGGGACGUCACACCCAUAGGCAAGUCCACAGAGGGAGCUUUGGCUGGAAGAAGAAGCUACCAGACUGGGGGCCAAGAGAGGGGAGACGCUGGUGAAGGACAUCAGUGGCUCAGUGUUUUCCAGGAAGGCUAGAGUGCACGAAGAAUGCAAAGGUGGGAAAGGACCUGCUGGGGGUGGCCCUGUGUCCCCUGACGUGUCUCCCUUGGGUGCGGUGGUGGGCGGGGGGGGGGGGCUGUCCACUCCACCAGCCACAUGGGUCCCAGCCACUGGCAGAGACGGGCAGGGCCAGCCACAGAGGUGCACGGUUGGCACCUGGCUGCAGUGGCUUCCCAGGGUCUGUCCCUCUCGGCAUGUCCUUAACCAGGCAGACGUUCUAAAGGUUUCUGCACACCGCAGAAAGGGGGAGGGGGGCAGGGCCACGUGACACAGAGCCUCACCUCACUGAGCCCACAGCUUCCUCAGCUGCAAAAUGGGACCAAUGGAACCCAUUUCCCUGGACGGCCGUGAAGGUUUCAUGAGAGAAAUAAGCUGUCUGGGAAGUUCUCAGAGAGCGGUGACCCCUCCCUUAUGAUUAACCAGCCCCGGGAGCCGCUUCAGGAUGCAUCUUGACAAUUGGAAAUAUGGAAAGACACAAGGCUGUGCUGCUGUGGGCAUCUCGUUAUGAGAACGUUGGUUUCUUGGGUUAUAUUAAGAUGUGGUUUUCCUGUUCAAGCCUCUGAAAUCCCCUGUGGGUUCUCUGGGGGUUCAGCAGCAGGGGAAGAGGUAGGUCCCCAACAAGGAGUGGGCAGGAGAAGGAGGUCCGGCCUCCUGCACUUUGGUUGCUGCCUGAACUUGGGAAACCAGCCCCGGGUCCUUGGGGGUUGCCACAAAGGGUCCCUACGCCGGACUCCCACCAUUGGCGAAUUAAAAACAUAAGAGGUGCAGUUGUCUGUGUUUUCUCUGGCCAUCCUGAGUCUCCGGGUGAGCUAAGGACCUUCUCCUGACAGAAUAAAUACUAUCUCCUCCCUGCGUGUAGGUCUGUU
ensembl:lncRNA